rnacentral:rRNA from 1 species
GGUGCGGAACACUNGUGCACUGCNUUAUCUGGGGAUAGCCUUCGAAGGAGAUAUACCCAUAUUGUGAUUGGCUCUCCGACUUGAAAUCCGUGGUAGAGAUGGGCCGCGCAGAUUAAAUAGUGGUGAGGUACGGUCACCAGUCUACGAUCUUUAGGGGCUGAGGUGAUCCCCCAAUGGUANUGAGACCGGACAAAUUCCUACGGGAGGCAGCAGUGAGGAAUNUUGGGCCAAUGGGUGAAAGCCUGAUCCAGCCAUCCCGCGUGAAGGACGAUGCCCUAUGGGUUGUAACUUCUUUGGUAUAGGGAUAUACCUACCCUCGUGAGGGUAGCUGAAGGUACUAUACGAAUAAGCACCGGCUAACUCCGUGCCAGCAGCCGCGGUAAUACGGAGGGUGCAGCGUUAUCCGGAUUUAUGGGUUAAGGUCGAAGCGGAUCUGGUAAGUCCAGUGGGUGGAAAUCUCACAAGUUUAACUUGGUGAAAAACUNGCAUUGGAUACUGCAGGUUCUUGGAGUGUUGGUGAAAGUAGCUGGGAAUAAAGUAGCGUAACGGUUGGAAUUGCUUAGAUUUUACUUUUAAAACACCAAUUGGCAAGGGCGGUUU